UACGGGGGGGGUAAGCGUUGUUCGGAAUUACUGGGCGUAAAGGGCUCGUAGGCGGCCAACUAAGUCGGACGUGAAAUCCCUCAGCUUAACUGGGGAACUGCGUCCGAUACUGGAUGGCUUGGAUUUGGGAGAGGGAUGCGGAAUUCCAGGUGUAGCGGUGAAAUGCGUAGAUAUCGGGAAGAACACCCGUGGCGAAGGCGGCUCUCUGGGACGGUACUGACGCUGAGACGCGAAAGCGUGGGGAGCGAACAGG
rnacentral:rRNA from 1 species